UACGUAGGGCGCGAGCGUUGUCCGGAAUCAUUGGGCGUAAAGAGCUCGUAGGCGGCCUGUCGCGUCUGCUGUGAAAUCCCGGGGCUUAACCCCGGGCGUGCAGUGGAUACGGGCUGGCUGGAGGCAGGCAGGGGAGAACGGAAUUCCCGGUGUAGCGGUGAAAUGCGCAGAUAUCGGGAGGAACACCGGUGGCGAAGGCGGUUCUCUGGGCCUGCACUGACGCUCAUGCACGAAAGCGUGGGGAGCAAACAGG
rnacentral:rRNA from 1 species